GGCUACAUCACGUUGAAACAGCUGUUCUCAUACGAUCACCGAAGUUAAGCAACGUCGAGCCUGGUCAGAUGGAUGACCUCUUGGGAAUAUCAGGUGCUGUAA